CUGGUGCCAGCAGCCGCGGUAAUUCCAGCUCCAAUAGCGUAUAUUAAAGUUGUUGCAGUUAAAAAGCUCGUAGUUGAAUUUCGGGGUUAGUAGGUUGGUCAUGCCUCUGGUAUGUACUGGUCUCACUGAUUCCUCCUUCCUGAUGAACCGUAAUGCCAUUAAUUUGGUGUUGCGGGGAAUUUGGACUGUUACUUUGAAAAAAUUAGAGUGUUUAAAGCAAGCUAACGCUUGAAUACAUUAGCAUGGAAUAAUGAAAUAGGACGUUCGAUCCUAUUUUGUUGGUUUCUAGGGUUGACGUAAUGAUUAAUAGGGAUAGUUGGGGGCAUUAGUAUUCAAUUGUCAGAGGUGAAAUUCUUGGAUUUAUUGAAGACUAACUACUGCGAAAGCAUUUGCCAAGGAUGUUUUCAUUAAUCAAGAACGAAAGUUAGGGGAUCGAAGACGAUCAGAUACCGUCGUAGUC
rnacentral:rRNA from 1 species